rnacentral:rRNA from 1 species
UACGAGGGGGGGCAAGCGUUGUUCGGAAUUAUUGGGCGUAAAGAGCGUGUAGGCGGUUUGGUAGGUCCGUUGUGAAAACUCGAGGCUCAACCUCGAGACGCCGAUGGAAACCAUCAGACUAGAGUCCGGAAGAGGAGAGUGGAAUUCCUGGUGUAGCGGUGAAAUGCGCAGAUAUCAGGAAGAACACCCGUGGCUAAGGCGGCUCUCUAGUACGGUACUGACGCUGAGACGCGAAAGCGUGGGGAGCGAACAGG